rnacentral:rRNA from 1 species
AGUUUGAUCAUGGCUCAGUAUUGUACGCUGGCGGCAUGCCUUACACAUGCAAGUCGAACGGUAACGCGGGGCAACCUGGCGACGAGUGGCGAACGGGUGAGUAAUACAUCGGAACGUGCCCAGUAGCGGGGGAUAGCCCGGCGAAAGCCGGAUUAAUACCGCAUACGACCUAAGGGUGAAAGCGGGGAUCGCAAGACCUCGCGCUAUGGGAGCGGCGAUGUCAGAUUAGUAUUGGGGGGGGUAAGGGCCUACCAGCUCAAGAUCUGUAGCUGGUCUGAGAGGACGACCAGCCCACCUGGGUACUGAGACACCGGCCCCAGACUCCUACGGGAGGCAGCAGGGAGGAUUUUUGGACAUUGGGCGCAAGCCUGAUCCACCCUUGCCGCGUGCGGGAAAAAGGCCUUCGGGUGGUAACCCGCUUUUGUCAGGGAAAACCCCUUUGGGUUAUUACCCCAAAUUAUUGACGGUACCUGAAGAAUAACCACCGGCUAAUUACGUGCC